rnacentral:rRNA from 1 species
AGAGUUUGAUCCUGGCUCAGAACGAACGCUGGCGGCGUGCUUAAUACAUGCAAGUCGUGCGAGAAAGUCCGGCUUCGGUUGGGCGAGUAAAGCGGCGAACGGGUGCGUAACACGUGGGUAACCUGCCUCAAAGCCCGGGAUAAGCUCCCGAAAGGGGGUCUAAUACCGGAUAACAUCCCCGAAGGGCAUCCUUUGGAGAUCAAAGUUGGCCACUAUUCAUAACCUGCCGCUUGAGGAUGAGUCCGCGUUCCAUUAGCUUGUUGGUGAGGUAAAAGCUCACCAAGGCUACGAUGGAUAGCCGGCCUGAGAGGGUGUACGGCCACACUGGGACUGAGAUACGGCCCAGACUCCUACGGGAGGCAGCAGUAGGGAAUAUUGCGCAAUGCCCGAAUGGGUGACGCAGCAACGCCGCGUGGGUGAUGAAGUUCUUCGGAAUGUAAAACCCUGUCAGAGGGGAAGAAACCUUCCGGAACGAAUAGCUCCGGAAGCUGACGGUACCCUCAGAGGAAGCUCCGGCCAACUCCGUGCCAGCAGCCGCGGUAAUACGGAGGGAGCGAGCGUUGUUCGGAAUCACUGGGCGUAAAGGGUGUGCAGGCGGGUAGGCAAGUCGGGCGUGAAAACUCCAGGCUUAACCUGGAGCCUGCGUUCGAAACUACUUGGCUUGAGUCCAGGAGAGGAAAGUGGAAUUCCUGGUGUAGCGGUGAAAUGCGUAGAUAUCAGGAGGAACACCGGUGGCGAAGGCGGCUUUCUAGCCCGAUACUGACGCUGAGACACGAAGGCUAGGGGAGCAAACAGGAUUAGAUACCCUGGUAGUCCUAGCGGUAAACGUUGGGCACUAGGUGUUGUCCCUUGACCGGGGCAGUGCCGCAGCUAACGCAUUAAGUGCCCCGCCUGGGGAGUACGACCGCAAGGUUGAAACUCAAAGGAAUUGACGGGGGCCCGCACAAGCGGUGGAGUAUGUGGUUUAAUUCGACGCAACGCGAAGAACCUUACCUGGGUUUGACAUGCACUGGAAAGCUCAAGAGAUUGAGUCCCCCAGCGAUGGGUCAGUGCACAGGUGCUGCAUGGCUGUCGUCAGCUCGUGCCGUGAGGUGUUGGGUUAAGUCCCGCAACGAGCGCAACCCCUAUCCUUAGUUGCCACCCCCGAGCGGAGCACUCUAGGGAGACUGCCAGUCAUAAGCUGGAGGAAGGUGGGGAUGACGUCAAGUCCUCAUGGCCCUUACACCCAGGGCUACACACGUACUACAAUGGCCGGUACAGAAGGUUGCAAUACCGCAAGGUGGAGCCAAUCCCUAAAACCGGUCUCAGUUCAGAUUGGAGUCUGCAACUCGACUCCAUGAAGUUGGAAUCGCUAGUAAUCGCUGAUCAGCAAGCAGCGGUGAAUACGUUCCCGGGCCUUGUACACACCGCCCGUCAAGCCAUGGAAGCCGGAAGUACCCGAAGUCGUUACUCUAACCCUUCGGGGAUGAGAGCGCCGAAGGUAAAGCCGGUGACUGGGGCUAAGUCGUAACAAGCUAACCAAGGGCGAA